ensembl:snoRNA small nucleolar RNA SNORA42/SNORA80 family
GCAUGGGUUUGGAUUUAUGGCAGGCCUAUUCCUAUGGGCCUCUCAUAGUGUCCCAUGCUAGAGCAAACUGUAGCCCCCCCAACCAUUGCCUGGCCUCCCUGACCGUAAGCUGCGGGCACUGAAGUGGGUUGUACAAUG